rnacentral:rRNA from 1 species
GUUGGUUCUACCCGAAGGUGGUGCGCUAACCGCAAGGAGGCAGCCGACCACGGUAGGGUCAGCGACUGGGGUGAAGUCGUAACAAGGUAGCYGUAGGUGAACCUGCAGAAGGAUCA